CGUGUGUGUUACAUUUUAAUGUUGUUUCGUUGUUCUCCUCUUAUAUUUAAUGCGUUUCUCUCAGUUUUAGUUUGUUACCCCGAUUUUGUUUUUUGUCCAUAGAUUUAUGAGUUUUGAACAGCGGUAUACUACUGUUGCCUUUAUUUAGAAACAAACACAAUAGGCUCGAAAUAGAAGUUAAUCUUAAACUCCCUUAAAGUCCAAUAAUUCUUGGUUAACUCCUUAUGUUGCCUGAAAAUCAUUUAACUACAGUUAAAUAUGAUACGGAUAAAAAAAAAGGAUGCCACAUGUAGAGCAGGAUCUGCUUACCCUUUCGGAGCACCUGAGAUCACCUCCAGUUUUUGGUGGGGUUUGUGUUGCUUAGUCUAGUUUUCUAAGUUAUGUGUUGUGUACUGUUAUUUGAAUGUCUGCUUGUCUUUUUAUUUUUUAGCCAUGGCGUUUUCAGUUUAAUUUUGAACUUUUUUAGAUUUGGUGCAACUGUUUUGAGUUUUCAGUUAACAAUAUUCUUCAACUUGGUUGUUGAUUUCAUCAUCCAACUGUUGAUUCAACGCUUCCUGUGCUCACUGAGUCUUGACGUAUCAUUUUAUAAUUAGAACGCUUUAGGAGGUUUAAAAGCCUUGUUACUUUGAAGAUGUUUUAGAUACCCAUUUAUCAUUGUACAUCGCCGGAUGUGUUUAUACAGUGAACGACAUAAGGGUGUCACAUUUGGAGCAGGAUCUGCUUACCGCACCUCAGAUCAACCCCAGUUUUGGUGGGGUUCGUGUUGCUCAGUCUUUAGUUUUCUAUGUAGUUUUUUUGUAAACUUUUCGUCGGCAUUCGUUUUUUUUUCAAUGGCCUUCUUUGUUCAUCUCUCCUGGUGAUUUUUGAAUGCCCUUUUGGUAUCUUCCGUUUUUGUGUUAGAUAAGUUUGUAUAUGUGUUCGCGUCAACAGUUGCGACACAUCCCCGAAAAAUAUCAGGAAGUUUUAAUUUAAAGAAAAAAGUUUUCAAGGUGUUUAGAUGAAUUACUUCCCUAAGGGAAUACAAGGUAGAAGCAACUUAGAUAAUUACAUGCUGUAUAGAUUUAUGCAAAAUGAAGUCAUAUUUGCAUUGAAAAACAUUAUAUUUUACUUCGAUUUAUGAUUUGAAUCAUGAUCACCACAUUAUCAGGCUGAUGUGCAUUUACUCGGCGAUGGAACUAGUUUUUAACUUUUUUCUUAUGUGCGUCAUUGAAUAGUACAGUUUCGUUUUCCCCCUAAGAAUUGCAUAUGGAACACUUUUUUAAAACUUGUGCAUUUAAAUAGAUUUUUUUGUUUAAUCGAACCUAUAAUAAGCUAUAGAGGAAAGGAAACAGUAAUGCCAUGUGAAAUGUGUGUGUUUAUUUUAUAGUAUACAAUAGAAGAAAUUGGUAUUGAAGAAUUCUUGCAAAAGGAUAUAUAAACUACCUUUUGUUUAUACUUCAUGAUUACGAUUUUAAUUUACAGAUAUUAAUUUAUUUAGGAUAGAAUAUGCAGAAACAUGCCCAUUGUAUAUUGAAAAGUUUUAAAGCGGAAAUAUUAACAAAUUGUAUUCAUUUUGUGUGCAAAACACACAACGGAAAGACAAGAAUAACUUCAUGUUUUUUAUUAUGUUUCAAUUUUUUUAUUGAUAUGCACUGUGAUAUAAGAUAUGGUCACAAAUGUCAUAUUUCUAAUGAUAAUUUUGAUGAGUUUGUUAUAUCAGAUUAAAUAAGUUUUGUUUUAACCUUAGGGUUGUCAUUUAAACGACAUUUUUUAACAUUGCCACAUCAGCGGGAGGUUUGGCUAGCAAUAAAACUAUGUUAAUUUUUUAAAAUGGCCUGAACAUAGUCAGGUAUAUGGCAGUUGUUAUCAAAUAUUGUUACCUUGGUCGCAAUGAAUUACAUUGAUUUCCCAGUGAAAUAAAAACCGAUAAUUUCACAUGUGAAAUAAACGUGGUUAUUUCCCUCUCUGACGUCAUACAACAAUGGGCGUUGUCAAGACGUCGACAACGGCGAAUCAAAACAAAUUGUGAAUGCGUAGAAAAAAAGAUAUAGUUCCUUACAUGUUUUUACUUUAAUUUCUUUAAAAAAGCCAUUUGCCAAUGUAAUAAAAAGAAUAACUAAUUAGAGAAUUCAAAUAUCGAAAAAUAUUCAACUCGUGACCGAAAAACACUGAUAAUUAACUCAUGCGCUACUCGCAUUCGUGAAUUAAUGUGUUGUUCGGUCACUCGUUGAAUAUUUUUCUCUAUUUGAAUUCUUCGAUUAGUUAUUCUAUAA
rnacentral:lncRNA from 1 species